rnacentral:rRNA from 1 species
GACGAACGCUGGCGGCGUGCCUAAUACAUGCAAGUUGAGCGAUAAAGCUUGGUUCUUGCGCCGUGUUCAAGAGGCGCACACGGGUGUGUAACGCGUGUAACCUCUGCUUUUCAGUGGGGGACAACCUGGGGACACGAGUUCUUAUCGCACAUAAGAUCUUGCAACAUAGUUGUUGAUGGUGAAAUUUGCCAUUUCGUGACUGAAACGUGAUCUCUCGUCGUAUUAGCUAGUUGGUGAGGUAAAGGGGCACUAAGGUGAUGAUACCUAGCCGAACUGAGAGGGGGAUCGGCCACAUUGGGACUGAGACACGGCACAAACGCCUACGGGAGGCAGCAGUAGGGAAGCUGCGGCAAUGGACGAAAGUCUGAGCGAGAAACGCCGCGUGAGUGAAGAAGGUCUUCGGAUCGUAAAACUCUGUUGGUAGAGAAGAACGUUGGUGAGAGUGGAAAGCUCAUCAAGUGACGGUAACUACACAGAAAGGGACGGCUAACUACGUG